rnacentral:rRNA from 1 species
GACGAACGCUGGCGGCGUGCCUAAUACAUGCAAGUCGAACGCAGUGGGGACGGGUGAGUAACACGUGGGUAACCUCCCAUCAGAGGGGAUAACACUUGGAAACAGGUGCUAAACCGCUACUGAUGGAUGGACCCGCGGUGCAUUAGCUAGGUGGGGAGGUAACGGCUCACCAAGGCCACGAUGCAUAGCCGGCCUGAGAGUGUGACGUGCCACACUGGGACGGAGACACGGCCCAGACUCCUCAGGGAGGCAGCAGUAGGGAAUCUGCGGCAAUGGACGAAAGUCUGACCGAGCAACGCCGCGGGAGUGAAGAAGGUUUUCGGAUCGUAAAACGCUGUUGUUAGAGAAGCGGUAUCUAACCAGAAAGCCACGGCUAACUACGUGCCAGCAGCCGCGGUAAUAC